ACCCGCUGAACUUAAGCAUAUCAAUAAGCGGAGGAAAAGAAACCAACAGGGAUUGCCCUAGUAACGGCGAGUGAAGCGGCAACAGCUCAAAUUUGAAAUCUGGCGUCUUUGGCGUCCGAGUUGUAAUUUGCAGAGGGCGCUUUGGCAUUGGCAGCGGUCCAAGUUCCUUGGAACAGGACGUCACAGAGGGUGAGAAUCCCGUACGUGGUCGCUAGCCUUUACCGUGUAAAGCCCCUUCGACGAGUCGAGUUGUUUGGGAAUGCAGCUCUAAAUGGGAGGUAAAUUUCUUCUAAAGCUAAAUACUGGCCAGAGACCGAUAGCGCACAAGUAGAGUGAUCGAAAGAUGAAAAGCACUUUGGAAAGAGAGUUAAAAAGCACGUGAAAUUGUUGAAAGGGAAGCGCUUGCAGCCAGACUUGCCUGUAGUUGCUCAUCCGGGUUUUUACCCGGUGCACUCUUCUAUAGGCAGGCCAGCAUCAGUUUGGGCGGUUGGAUAAAGGUCUCUGUCACGUACCUCCUCUCGGGGAGAACUUAUAGGGGAGACGUAAUGCAACCAGCCUGGGCUGAGGUCCGCGCAUCUGCUAGGAUGCUGGCGUAAUGGCUGUAAGCGGCCCGUCUUGAAACACGGACCAAGGAGUCUAACAUCUAUGCGAGUGUUUGGGUGUCAAGCCCGAGCGCGUAAUGAAAGUGAACGGAGGUGGGAACCUUUCGGGGUGCACCAUCGACCGAUCCUGAUGUCUUCGGAUGGAUUUGAGUAAGAGCAUAGCUGUUGGGACCCGAAAGAUGGUGAACUAUGCUUGAAUAGGGUGAAGCCAGAGGAAACUCUGGUGGAGGCUCGCAGCGGUUCUGACGUGCAAAUCGAUCGUCAAAUUUGGGCAUAGGGGCGAAAGACUAAUCGAACUAUCUAGUA
rnacentral:rRNA from 1 species